rnacentral:rRNA from 1 species
AGUGAACGCUGGCGGUAGGCCUAACACAUGCAAGUCGAACGAGUGGCGGACGGGUGAGGAAUACAUCGGAAUCUACUCUGUCGUGGGGUCUAACGUAGGGAAACUUACGCUAAUACCGCAUACGAUUGAAUGCGCCGAUGUCGGAUUAGCUAGUUGGGGGGGUAAAGGCGCACAAAGGCGACGAGCCAUAGCUGGUCUGAGAGGCUGAUCAGCCACACUGGAACUGAGACACGGCCCAGACUCCUACGGGAGGCAGCAGUGGGGAAUAUUGGACAAUGGGCGAAAGCCUGAUCCAGCAAUACCGCGUGGGUGAAGAAGGCCUUCGGGUUGUAAAGCCCUUUUGUUGGGAAAGCGGUACCCAAAGAAUAAGCACCGGCUAACUACGUGCCAGCCGCCGCGGUAAUAC